rnacentral:rRNA from 1 species
GAUUAACGCUGGCGGCGUGCAUAACACAUGCAAGUCGAACGAUGGAACUUAGUAGACUUCUUCGGAAAGACACUAAGCGGAUUAGUGGCGAACGGGUGAGUAACGCGUGAGUAACCUGCCUUACACAAGGGGAUAGCCUUUGGAAACGAAGAAUAAUACCCUAUAAAACCAUAAAAGCACAUGCUAGAAUGGUCAAAGUGAUAGCGGUGUAAGAUGGACUUGCGUCUGAUUAGCUAGUUGGUGAGAUAAAAGCUCACCAAGGCAACGAUCAGUAGCCGGCUUGAGAGAGUGUACGGCCACAUUGGGACUGAGACACGGCCCAGACUCCUACGGGAGGCAGCAGUGGGGAAUUUUGCACAAUGGGGGAAACCCUGAUGCAGCGACGCCGCGUGAUUGAGAAGGCCUUCGGGUUGUAAAAAUCUUUUGUAUAGGAAGAAAAUGACAGUACUAUACGAAUAAGGUCCGGCUAAUUACGUG